rnacentral:siRNA from 1 species
UAGCAAAGUUUCAUAAGACUAA